rnacentral:rRNA from 1 species
GGCGUGGAUAAGGCAUGCAAGUCGAACGCGAACGGAACAGCUAAUUCGUUAGUAGUUCUUAGUAGAGUGGCGAACGGGUGAGUAACGCGUGAACAACAUACCUCUCAGAGGGGAAUAACACAGGGAAACCUGUGCUAAUACCGCAUAUAUCUUAGUAAUAAUAUUAUUUUGAUGAAAGGUGGGGACCUUCGGGCCUGCCGCUGAGAGAUUGGUUCGCGUCCCAUUAGCUUGUUGGUAGGGUAAUGGCCUACCAAGGCGACGAUGGGUAGCCGGCCUGAGAGGGCGACCGGCCACACUGGGAUUGAGAUACGGCCCAGACUCCUCCGGGAGGCGGCAGUCGAGAAUCUUCCACAAUGGACGAAAGCCUGAUGGAGCGACGCCGCGUGAGGGAUUAAGGCUUUCUGAGUCGUAAACCUCUGUCAGAAGGGAAGAACAGUUAGAGCAUUAAUAGUGUUUUGAUCUGACGUUACCUUCAGAGGAAGCUCCGGCUAACUCCGUGCCAGCAGCCGCGGUAAUACGGGGGGAGCAAGCGUUGUCCGGAAUCAUUGGGCGUAAAGGGCACGUAGGCGGUUUUAUAAGUCGAAUGUGAAAUCUCACGGCUCAACCGUGAAACUGCGUUCGAAACUAUCUAACUUGAGUUUGGGAGAGGUGUACGGAAUUCCUGGUGUAGCGGUGGAAUGCGUAGAUAUCAGGAAGAACACCAAUGGCGAAAGCAGUACACUGGCCUGAAACUGACGCUGAGGUGCGAAAGCGUGGGGAGCAAACAGGAUUAGAUACCCU